UGGCAGAGGAGCUCUGGCCUUCUCUUUGCAAAUGUGGAGAUGGUGCUCAUUUAAACUCUCAGAUUCAUUGACUCAUCUGCCAUGUAGAAUUGUGUACUAUUAAUAUAUAAUUCAAUGAGAUAUACUCUUACAAAUUUUUUAUGAAUUGAGAGAGGACUUCUUCUCCAAAUACAAGGUACUCAGCACAACAAAGAUCUAUGGAUAUAGUAGAAGACACUGUACACAUGUGUAUUUAAGAAUUCAGUUGGGGACACAAAAGGUGUUCAUGAAAUGUUGGAAGGAGGGGCAAAAUUAUUAUUUAUCAAAUACAUUCUAUAGGCGAAGAGAUAUUUUCUCAAAAGCAGCAAGCAAAGGGCACUGGACUCAUCGAGCUACAACUUAAUUUUGCCUAAAGUGAAAUUAAGAAACAUUUUAUGUCUCACCUGCUGAAGAUUAUAUGUUGAAAUCUCAAUGUCCAAGGAGAUGGUAUUAGAAAAAUAGGUGUUGCAAGGUGAUUGGAUUAUGAAGAUGGGACCCUCAUGAAUCAGAGCAGUGAUCUCAUAAGAGACCCUUACCCCUUCCACCAUGUGAGGACCCAGCAAGAAGAUACACUCAGUGAAGGGGAAACGGAGGAAGCUGAUCUUCACCAGACAAGGAAUCUGCAGGCACCUUCACCUUGGACUUCCCAGAUUGUGAAAACUGAGUUUCUACCCAGCGAUGGUACUUUGUUGUAGCAGCCCAAAUGAACUGAGACAAUCUCACUGCAAGAAAUGGCUACACUGCUGUGAAUUAUGCUAGCAGCACAUGCAAAUUCUGCUUCAGAGCUCUGGACUCCUUUUCGUGUCUGUUCCCUCCCUUACCCCUGCCCAAAUUCCAAAUGUGGUCAGGCUGCCCCAGAAUGUGCAGACACAAAUGAGGCAUAAGCCAUUUGGUCCAUUCAUUCCUACAAAACAUUAUUGAAAUACAUGUGGGCUUUCCCAAGUACAUUUUAAACCUGUGCUUAAUCAUCAUACUGUUGAAUCAUUCCAGUUCUCCAUUUUACUCCUCAGUCUCCUGAGAUUUUUUUUAUUGCUAGCCUCAGGCACAGUGCCUGACUCACAGUAGCACACUGAGAAAUGUUUGUUGGAACUAAUGAUUAAAUGAAUGAAAAUGAAUAUAUUUUUUUUUAAAUCAUGAAUUUCUAGUGCUGCAAUGGCAGACUUUUCUGGUUCAAGGUUUUGUUCCUGAAAUCUUUCAAAUCCCAUGUGACAUUUCACUCAUCUUUGAAAGAUUAGACUUGAGUAGGCAGCAUAGACAUUUGCAAUGUCACAAGAUUGGUAAACUAAUUCAAGUUUAUAGUCCAAGGUGCUGCUGAAGGCUUAGGAAAUCAACUUUAUUCUGAUAUUUUUAAAAUGUAGGAGAUAAAUAAAUUCUAAGGCCAUUUUACUGCCACUGUGUGGCUCAGGUUCACCUAGGCAAGAUGAAAUCAUUAAGUGUGUUUUUAUCUACCAAACAAGGCCUGUCAAGGCUUAAGAAAACAGAACGAGCUCCAGGUCUACAACUUGGACAAAGCAGUAUGCAACAAUCAUAUUACAUACCACCUUCACUGGUUAAUCCUUUCUCCAAAUUCUGGUUGCAAUGGCUUAGAAUUAUACAGUUAUUUAGAUGGGCAUGGAGCUACUCAAAUUAGUCCACACCCUCUUUCAUUUCCACCCAUUGAUGUAUUAUGCCUGGCACUUAACAUUUGGACAGUAUCUAAUCCUUUCUACUGAUACCAAUUUAAGUGACCAGGAUUAUGUCUUAUUCAGUAUUGUUUCACCUACUCUUAUAAAAGUACCUAGCAUAUAAGAUUAAUUAAAUAAUUUCC